AUUGAACGCUGGCGGCAUGCCUUACACAUGCAAGUCGAACGGCAGCAUGAUCUAGCUUGCUAGAUUGAUGGCGAGUGGCGCACGGGUGAGUAAUACAUCGGAACGUGCCCUGUAGUGGGGGAUAACUAGUCGAAAGAUUAGCUAAUACCGCAUACGACCUGAGGGUGAAAGUGGGGGACCGCAAGGCCUCAUGCUAUAGGAGCGGCCGAUGUCUGAUUAGCUAGUUGGUGAGGUAAAGGCUCACCAAGGCGACGAUCAGUAGCUGGUCUGAGAGGACGAUCAGCCGCACUGGGACUGAGACACGGCCCAGACUCCUACGGGAGGCAGCAGUGGGGAAUUUUGGACAAUGGGCGAAAGCCUGAUCCAGCAAUGCCGCGUGUGUGAAGAAGGCCUUCGGGUUGUAAAGCACUUUUGUCCGGAAAGAAAUGGCUCUGGUUAAUACCUGGGGUCGAUGACGGUACCGGAAGAAUAAGGACCGGCUAACUACGUG
rnacentral:rRNA from 1 species